UCCUUAAUAUAACGAAGAAAAUACCUGCCU
rnacentral:piRNA from 1 species